GACGAACGCUGGCGGCGUGCCUAAUACAUGCAAGUCGAGCGAAGCCUUCGGGCUUAGCGGCGGACGGGUGAGUAACGCGUGGGAACGUGCCCUUUGGUACGGAAUAGCCCCGGGAAACUGGGAGUAAUACCGUAUGUGGUCGAGAGACGAAAGAUUUAUCGCCAAAGGAUCGGCCCGCGUUGGAUUAGGUAGUUGGUGGGGUAAUGGCCUACCAAGCCGACGAUCCAUAGCUGGUUUGAGAGGAUGCUCAGCCACACUGGGACUGAGACACGGCCCAGACUCCUACGGGGGGCAGCAGUGGGGAAUCUUAGACAAUGGGGGAAACCCUGAUCUAGCCAUGCCGCGUGAUCGAUGAAGGCCUUAGGGUUGCAAAGAUCUUUCAGUGGGGAAGAUAAUGACUGUACCCACAGAAGAAGCCCCGGCUAACUCCGUGCCAGCCGCCGCAGUAA
rnacentral:rRNA from 1 species